rnacentral:misc_RNA from 1 species
AAGUCGUAACAAGGUUUCCGUAGGUGAACCUGCGGAAGGAUCAUUAUUGAAUUGAAAUGCGUUAGUUGGUUGAGCUGACUCUCCCUUUUGAUAAUAUCAGAGGGGAGUAAGUAUGUGCUCGCUAUAUCGCUUUUUCUAACUCUCCACUGUGCACCUUCAUUGUAGGCUAUGAAAACUCUCAGGUAGAGACACUCCACCCUUUGUGCGCAGAAGGGGGGGGAAGGGUCUUAUUUGGGUUUUAGAAGGCUUAUCGGGCAUUCAUUUUGCUUGCUUUCAACUUUGUAGCCUAUGAUCUUACAACAAACUACUUUGAUGAAGUUUUGAUGAAUGAUGGAUUGGUCUUUUUGAACCAAUAUAAAGUCAUAUAUACAACUUUCAGCAACGGAUCUCUUGGCUCUC